CCUACGGGAGGCAGCAGUAGGGAAUUUUCGUCACUGGGCGCAAGCCUGAACGAGCAAUGCCGCGUGAACGAGGAAGGUCUUCGGCUCGUAAAGUUCUGUUGAAGGGGAAAAAGCGCGGAGAGAGGAAAUGCACUCCGAUUGAUAUUACCCUUCGAGGAAGUCAGGGCUAACUACGUGCCAGCAGCCGCGGUAAUACGUAGUUGGCGAGCGUUAUCCGGAAUGAUUGGGCGUAAGGGGUGCGUUGGCGGCCUGCUAAGUCUGGAGUGAAAGGUACCGGCUCAACCGGUACAGGCUCUGGAAACUGGCGGGCUAGAGAGCAGGAGAGGGCGGUGGAACUCCAUGUGUAGCGGUAAAAUGCGUAGAUAUAUGGAAGAACACCAGUGGCGAAGGCGGCCGCCUGGCCUGUUGACUGACGCUGAGGCACGAAAGCGUGGGGAGCAAAUAGGAUUAGAUACCCCUGUAGUC
rnacentral:rRNA from 1 species